rnacentral:rRNA from 1 species
GACGAACGCUGGCGGCGUGCUUAACACAUGCAAGUCGAACGGAAAGGCCCUGCUUUUGUGGGGUGCUCGAGUGGCGAACGGGUGAGUAACACGUGAGUAACCUGCCCUUGACUUUGGGAUAACUUCAGGAAACUGGGGCUAAUACCGGAUAGGAGCUCCUGCUGCAUGGUGGGGGUUGGAAAGUUUCGGCGGUUGGGGAUGGACUCGCGGCUUAUCAGCUUGUUGGUGGGGUAGUGGCUUACCAAGGGUUUGACGGGUAGCCGGCCUGAGAGGGUGACCGGCCACAUUGGGACUGAGAUACGGACCAGACGCCUACGGGAGGCAGCAGUGGGGAAUAUUGCACAAUGGGCGGAAGCCUGAUGCAGCAACGCCGCGUGCGGGAUGACGGCCUUCGGGUUGUAAACCGCUUUCGCCUGUGACGAAGCGUGAGUGACGGUAAUGGGUAAAGAAGCACCGGCUAACUACGUG